GAGUGGCAGCUUUAGCAGCAGGUGGUCUGAUUUUGUUAGCAGAGCGCUGUGGAUGGGGUGCUGGGGAGUCUCUGAGAUCGGAAAAGCA